rnacentral:lncRNA from 1 species
UACAUAAAUAUAUCUUAUCCACAUAGUCGCUCAUUGAGGAACUGGAUUUAUCUAAUGAGUAUAGGUAAAAUGGUUUUUUAUAUUGGAUUUAUCAAUGCAAUGAAUUGUUUCAUCAUAAGACCGAUCCCUAAUUAAAUUGAUGAGCCCCAUCCUAACGAAAUGAAUUUGAUUCAUACAUGUACACACACGAAUUGAACAUAGAUACAUUCACCGAAUCAUUGAUAAAGCAAUUCUACUUGGCGAGGAAAAAAUUUUCAAUAACUUGUUGAUCCCUAUCCCCAGAUUUUUAAAUUUAUCGUUUUUGAAUUUCUUGGCUUAGUGUGAGAUCGAAAUAUACCUAACCUAAUCUUAACAAUGAGUGAAUCAAUGAGUGAAAGUAUGAGAAAUGGAGUUUAAUCCUGUUUAUAGCAUAUGACAGACCAAUCACUUCCCGAAGGGUACUAGCCUUCGUAUUAUUUAAAUAAAAAAAGAAUAUUUUUUUUGAAUAUUUAUUAUUUUUGUUUAUUUUAGACGUUUCUUCUAAUCACUACUAAUCACUAUUUUCAUUUGAUAUUCUAUAAUAAGUAAUAUAACUAUAUAUUCCAAUUUGCAAAUUUAUGUAUAUUAUUUAAAUUAAAUAAAUAAAAAAA